ACAUCGGAGAGUUUGAUCCUGGCUCAGGACGAACGCUGGCGGCGGGCCUAACACAUGCAAGUCAAACGAGCAGUCCUUCGGGAUGGGCGAGUGGCGCACGGGUGAGUAACACGUAGAGAAUCUACCCUUAAGUGGGGAAUAACCACUGGAAACGGUGGCUAAUACCGCAUAUUGACUUUAUACCGCAUGGUAUUUGGUUGAAAGCCUUCGGGCGCUUAAGGAUGACUCUGCGGCGGAUUAGCUAGUUGGUGAGGUAAAGGCUCACCAAGGCGACGAUCCGUAGCUGGUCUGAGAGGAUGAUCAGCCACACUGGCACUGACACACGGGCCAGACUCCUACGGGAGGCAGCAGUGAGGAAUAUUGGACAAUGGGCGAAAGCCUGAUCCAGCCACGCCGCGUGCAGGAUGAAGUCCCUCUGGGGCGUAAACUGCUUUUAUAUGGGAAUAAAAAGAUGGUCGCCAUUAUUGAAGGUACCAUAUGAAUAAGCACCGGCUAACUACGUGCCAGCAGCCGCGGUAAUACGUAGGGUGCAAGCGUUGUCCGGAAUCAUUGGGUGUAAAGGGUGCGUAGGCGGAUUGGUAAGUCAGAGGUGAAAGCCCGUAGCUUAACUACGGAACUGCCUUUGAUACUGCCAGUCUUGAGUCCUGGAGAGGUUACUGGAAUUCGUGGUGUAGCAGUGAAAUGCGUAGAUAUCACGAGGAAUACCCGAAGCGUAGGCGAGUAACUGGACAGGUACUGACGCUCAGGCACGAAAGCGUGGGGAGCAAACAGGAUUAGAUACCCUGGUAGUCCACGCUGUAAACGAUGAACACUCGACGUUGGCCCUGUAUGGGGUCAGUGUCUAAGCUAACGCGUUAAGUGUUCCACCUGGGGAGUACGAUCGCAAGGUUGAAACUCAAAGGAAUUGACGGGGGCCCGCACAAGCGGUGGAGCAUGUUGCUUAAUUCGAUGCAACGCGAGGAACCUUAUCCUGGAUUCAACGUAGCCGGACAGUCUGUGAAAGCAGAUCUUCUUCGGACUGGCUACGCGGUGCUGCAUGGCUGUCGUCAGCUCGUGUCGUGAGAUGUUGGGUUAAGUCCCGCAACGAGCGCAACCCCUACUACCAGUUACCAGCGGGAAAGCCGGGGACUCUGGUAGGACUGCCUGCGCAAGCAGUGAGGAAGGUGGGGAUGACGUCAAGUCCUCAUGGCCUUUAUGUCCAGGGCUGCAAACGUGCUACAAUGGAUGGUACAAUGGGUUGCCACUCUGCGAAGAGGCGCUAAUCCUCAAAACCAUCCUCAGUUCGGAUCGGAGUCUGCAACUCGACUCCGUGAAGUUGGAAUCGCUAGUAAUCGCGCAUCAGAACGGCGCGGUGAAUACGUUCCCGGGCCUUGUACACACCGCCCGUCAAGCCAUGGAAGCUGGGGGUGCCCGAAGUCCGUAGCCUAACCGAAAGGAGGGGGCGGCCGAAGGUAAAAUCAGUGACUGGGGCUAAGUCGUAACAAGGUAGCCGUACCGGAAGGUGCGGCUGGAUUACCUCCUUA
rnacentral:rRNA from 1 species